AACGCUAGCUACAGGCUUAACACAUGCAAGUCGAGGGGCAGCAUGGUCUUAGCUUGCUAAGGCCGAUGGCGACCGGCGCACGGGUGAGUAACACGUAUCCAACCUGCCGUCUACUCUUGGACAGCCUUCUGAAAGGAAGAUUAAUACAAGAUGGCAUCAUGAGUCCGCAUGUUCACAUGAUUAAAGGUAUUCCGGUAGACGAUGGGGAUGCGUUCCAUUAGAUAGUAGGCGGGGUAACGGCCCACCUAGUCUUCGAUGGAUAGGGGUUCUGAGAGGAAGGUCCCCCACAUUGGAACUGAGACACGGUCCAAACUCCUACGGGAGGCAGCAGUGAGGAAUAUUGGUCAAUGGGCGCAGGCCUGAACCAGCCAAGUAGCGUGAAGGAUGACUGCCCUAUGGGUUGUAAACUUCUUUUAUAAAGGAAUAAAGUCGGGUAUGGAUACCCGUUUGCAUGUACUUUAUGAAUAAGGAUCGGCUAACUCCGUGCCAGCAGCCGCGGUAAUACGGAGGAUCCGAGCGUUAUCCGGAUUUAUUGGGUUUAAAGGGAGCGUAGAUGGAUGUUUAAGUCAGUUGUGAAAGUUUGCGGCUCAACCGUAAAAUUGCAGUUGAUACUGGAUAUCUUGAGUGCAGUUGAGGCAGGCGGAAUUCGUGGUGUAGCGGUGAAAUGCUUAGAUAUCACGAAGAACUCCGAUUGCAAAGGCAGCCUGCUAAGCUGCAACUGACAUUGAGGCUCGAAAGUGUGGGUAUCAAACAGGAUUAGAUACCCUGGUAGUCCACACGGUAAACGAUGAAUACUCGCUGUUUGCGAUAUACGGCAAGCGGCCAAGCGAAAGCGUUAAGUAUUCCACCUGGGGAGUACGCCGGCAACGGUGAAACUCAAAGGAAUUGACGGGGGCCCGCACAAGCGGAGGAACAUGUGGUUUAAUUCGAUGAUACGCGAGGAACCUUACCCGGGCUUAAAUUGCAGAUGAAUUACGGUGAAAGCCGUAAGCCGCAAGGCAUCUGUGAAGGUGCUGCAUGGUUGUCGUCAGCUCGUGCCGUGAGGUGUCGGCUUAAGUGCCAUAACGAGCGCAACCCUUGUUGUCAGUUACUAACAGGUUCCGCUGAGGACUCUGACAAGACUGCCAUCGUAAGAUGUGAGGAAGGUGGGGAUGACGUCAAAUCAGCACGGCCCUUACGUCCGGGGCUACACACGUGUUACAAUGGGGGGUACAGAGGGCCGCUACCACGCGAGUGGAUGCCAAUCCCAAAAACCUCUCUCAGUUCGGACUGGAGUCUGCAACCCGACUCCACGAAGCUGGAUUCGCUAGUAAUCGCGCAUCAGCCACGGCGCGGUGAAUACGUUCCCGGGCCUUGUACACACCGCCCGUCAAGCCAUGGGAGCCGGGGGUACCUGAAGUGCGUAACCGCGAGGAGCGCCCUAGGGUAAAACUGGUGACUGGGGC
rnacentral:rRNA from 1 species